rnacentral:rRNA from 1 species
CGAACCAGUGUGGAUGCUGGACCGUAGAGGGUGAGAGUCCCGUAGUCGAAAUGUGUUCCGCCGCUGUUGGAGGGUUGCCCGAGUAGCACGGGGCCCGAGGAAUCCCGUGUGAAUCUGCCAGGACCACCUGGUAAGCCUGAAUACUACCUGUUGACCGAUAGCGGAUCAGUACCGUGAGGGAAUGGUGAAAAGUACCGCGACAAGCGGAGUGAAAGAGAACCUGAAACCGUGUGCUU